AUACUUACCUGGCAGGGGAGAUACCAUAAUCAUAAAGGCGGUUUUCCCAGCGUGAGUCUUAUCCAUUGCACUCUGCUGACCCCUGUGAUUUCCCCAAAUGUGGGAGAUUCAACUGCAUAAUUUGUGGUAGUCGGGGACUGUGUUCGUGCUCUCCUCUG